GUUCAACUAUUUGAAAAAUAAUGACCCUCUGAGCUCUUAUUUUCUUAACAUUUAUUAUUGGAUGGAUAUUUUAUUGAGAGGCUGUACAUUGUCAGAUAGGAGCUGUGAAGAUCUAUCCUCAGUUCUCAGCUCCUAUAAAACGCUGCGCACAAAACCAGAAGUGGGUUUGAUUUGGAGCCUGGUAUUAACCGCUGGAAACUGGUUCCUUCUAC